GUGGGGAAUAUUGGACAAUGGGCGAAAGCCUGAUCCAGCCAUGCCGCGUGUGUGAAGAAGGUCUUCGGAUUGUAAAGCACUUUAAGUUGGGAGGAAGGGCAGUAAGUUAAUACCUUGCUGUUUUGACGUUACCGACAGAAUAAGCACCGGCUAACUUCGUGCCAGCAGCCGCGGUAAUACGAAGGGUGCAAGCGUUAAUCGGAAUUACUGGGCGUAAAGCGCGCGUAGGGGGUUCAGCAAGUUGGAGGUGAAAUCCCCGGGCUCAACCUGGGAACUGCCUCCAAAACUACUGGGCUAGAGUACGGUAGAGGGUAGUGGAAUUUCCUGUGUAGCGGUGAAAUGCGUAGAUAUAGGAAGGAACACCAGUGGCGAAGGCGACUACCUGGACUGAUACUGACACUGAGGUGCGAAAGCGUGGGGAGCAAACAGGAUUAGAAACCCGGGUAGUCC
rnacentral:rRNA from 1 species